rnacentral:tRNA from 1 species
AAAGCUUUAAGUUAAAAAAACUAAUAACCUUCAAAGUUAUAAAUAUAUAUAAAUGUAAGCUUUA